ensembl:lncRNA
AUGGUGACUUUGAGUACUGCUUCCCCUGUUUCCCUGUGAGUUCAGCUAGUAAAAGAACUCGGAGCAGAAAAGCCAGAAGUGAACGUAACCCAACAAGCAAGAGAAAAGGAUAGAGCCUACAAGAGAAGUUUUUCCAGAGUUUGGUUCAGGCUUGGCUAACUAGCUCUGGGUAUGCCAAUGCAAUUUUUUUGCUUUCCUUGUAUACAUUUUAAAACAAGUGCGUGUGAUAGUUCGUGGACACAGACCUGACGUAAGAGGAAUGACACAUUUUGUCAGAACGGAUCAAAUAAACACAAGCGAGCAAGAGUGCAUAUGAACAACUGUGUGAAGCUAGCCAUGCUAGAGGUGUGGAGCUAAGCAAGGAGCGAACCAAAGGAAGCCACAGUAAGGAAGCAAAUCGAAAAAAUGCAGAGGCCCGGCAGACUGGAGGGGGUCCACCACCUGCAGCCCUCACAGAGGCUGAGGAGAUGGCCCUCAGCCAACAGAGUAUGCGUCCUGUGGCUGAGGGCAUUCCUGGGGGGAGCUCCUCUGAUCCCCCCCACCCCCUAGGAUAGAAGUGCGAGUUACUGAUGGCGUCAUCGCCCUACUUGAACCAGAUGCCCUCACCAACCUCCAUGCAAUUGUAACAAUUCAAAAGAUGCAAAAGGAUGCUUUGGAGAUCCAAAUUUUGGAACAUAAGCUAUAGGUGGGUGAGGUGCAAACUGGGAUACUGUUCCCUGCUCUAAAAACAUACCCAAUAUAAAUGACUUUUUUUUUUUUGUGCUUUCAGGAAAUAAAAAAAUCCUCAUAAUAAGUAGAUUGUCUUUAUUAGAACACGGGCUGUGGUGGGACAAGUUAUUUUGUUGAACAGUUUACUCAAAGGGUUUUACUUCAGUGAACAAUGCAGACGAUUAUGCUGAGCAUGUGCAUGUAGAGAAGAACAGCAUCUGGUUAAAAGCAGUACCAGGGUCUUUUCUGCCUUGCAUUCUUAAAAUGAGUUUCUUGACUUGAAGCAGUUAUAGGUCCGUGGUUAGUC